rnacentral:lncRNA from 1 species
AUUAAACUCCGGAAGGCAAACCUCUAAAGGGUUCUUCUUUAUUUGAUGUUAGGGUUUGUGGGAUUAUACCAGAUUUUGACUUUCUUUUUCAAAAGUUUAAACAAGGUUCUUCUUUAUAUGAUGUUAGGUUUUGUGGGUGUUUCUUGAAUAUUAGAUAGAAAUAUAUGAGAAGGUUCGGAUUCCAUUUUGAUCUCGCCGUCAUCAAUCACGCAAUGAUUCCAGGUGAGCUAUGUUCGAGUUCUUAUUAACAAACACACUAACUAAAUCAAGUACAUCGAUGUUGAUGUCAACGAUUGUUCAAUCAAUGGAGAUGAAGGUAACUAAAAUGAUGAGCCAAACAAGUUGGACGAAAAGCUUAAGACAAUUGAAUCUCUUUUGGAAAGAAAGAUGUGAAUGGUGGUGUUGAUGAGAGGCAACCAAAGGAACCAAAAUGUGUAGAAACAAAUGAGUCUAACUAUGAAGAAGUCAUAAAAAGCAAGUCUGUUGAUCAAUUAAUCGAGGCUGAACUUAACGAGUUGAAAUGCAAAACCAAGUGAUCCAAACAACAAGCAUAAGGUAUUAGUUCAUGUUAUCAUCUUAAGUAGCUUAUGUGAGAGGGAACCACCUUCAAGAAGUCCAAAACCGGGAGGUGACAGGAAAUGUGUUUUUUUAUCACACUGAUAAUCAACGCUACAUACAACGAGCAUUGCUUAUGGAUUUGGAACCCAGAGUUUAUUUUAUGCCAUUCAAUUGCGGAGGAACUAGCUCAUGUAGUAUUUCAAGGAUCAUAUCUUUCAUUUUAUUCAUUUGAAAGUUACAGUUUAUUUCGGUCUGAUUUUUAUCCCAACAUCAUUCAUUAUAUGUAUAGUCUGCUGUGAUUUUUCAAACGGGACAUGGAAUGGCGGGAGACCUUUAAGUUUGUGUAUUAUAUAUCACAUUGUCGUCGUCGCCGCUAAGUCGCUAACUUACGUAUAAGUAAUUCGCGAGGGGGAUUGUUCAGUUUGGAGAGGUUUAUGAGAGAACGGAGAAUAGGGCGUAUGAGGAAUUGGCGAGGGCGGUUGUUAUGUUUGGAGAGGUUUAUGAGAGGAUGAAGCAAGAGAAGAGGAGAUGGUGAGGUUGAAGAAGCAGAGGAUGGAAUUUACUAAAGAGCUUGAGUUUCAUAGGUUGAACAUGUUUAUGGAAACUCAGGUUGCGCUUGAAAAAAAAAUGAAAAAUAAGAACAAGAGAUCAUCUGCUACAGGUUCCUUGGGUCCAGGGACUCUAUAUUUGAAUGAGUGGAGCUGUUCAGUGGUUGUUUUUGUGGAUUGUUCGUAACCUUGAUGGUAUUGAUGGUGGCGACAGAGGUUGUAAAUAGGGUUCCGGUCACCCUUAGGCAAAAUCGCCCACCAUAGGGGGCAAUUGCGGUGAGUAUGAUGUUCCCAUUAGGAUACGCAUAUGCAAGUUGUUGUUGCCUAUGGGUUUCAGGUGAAAAAAAGCAGGUCAAUUUAACACAAGAACUUGUAGCAUUAUCUGGUGCACAUACUCUUGGAAGCAAAGGCUUUGGAAAUCCAGUUAUUUUUAAUAAUGCAUAUUAUAAAGUACAGUUGGAGAAGCCAUGUCUAUCUUCAGGUUUGUCACAUGCUUUUGGCUUAAAAACAAUGUUAACAUUUCUUAAAGCCAAAACUUAUUGUAGUGCUUAUAUUUUUUUUAUAUUUUUAUGUAUACAACUGGAAUGACUUGUGGAUUGUAAGUAGGGUUCUGGUCAACCUUUGCCAAAAUCACCCACCAUAGGAAGUGCUCCCCUGACUGUAGUUCAGCUGCUACUAUGGGUAAAUAUGAUAAUGGGUACACUGGGAGCACUUGCAUUUGCCACUGAACCUUCUACCAAUGAAUUGAUGGAACGGCAAUUGGUCCGAAGAAAUGGAAAAAAAAAAAAGAAAACAGCCGGUGAUGGGUCAAAAGAGAGUAAUGUUCUCUUUGGCUUUACAAAUAAAAGUACGAUGCCGAGAACAGUCUCUUUUGUAACCUUGAACAAGGUUGGUGGAUUUCUACAAUCUAUGGAUCUUGCACACUUUAUGCUUUUGGAAAGAUGUUGGUCAUUGGAAACGAGCCAUUAUUCAAGGUUUAAUGACAUAUUGAAUAGGAUCUACCUUUUUUAACUUUUGUCGGUCUUUGUUUCCCCCAUGACAUUCGAUUUUCACCUAAAUAAAUGUAUAAACAAAUAUUGUGUGUAUAUAUAUUUAUAAUUUUAGAGCUUAGAUCAGGUUGCUCAACUUCCAAGUCUAUAAUGUAACUGGUUAUGACUUGUGCAACGUAUUUUUUUACACACU